GGGGUCGACUUGGCUUUGACAGCGUGACGAAGGGGCAGGUAAGCAUGUCGUGCGCAGGUACUGCCGGCACGUUAAUCCCGGUGUAUCAUAAAGUAUUUAGUUGGCGAAGAAAAUUACGCUCUCGCUGCCUAACCGAAGUACAGUAAGUUAAGGCUUCAUCCGCUUACGAUAGAAGUGGACGAGACGUCACCCGAAACUCUUAUUCCGAAGUGAUUCGAACUCGGUGACGCACCAAUAUCGGAAUCUUCCGCGCAAGAGGCUCCCGUAGCGCCGGAUAGUAUUACUGGAGAUAAGCUGUUGCCCACAUAGAGGCUUUAACUAUGGGCACGGCCGACAAAGCAAAGUGAAGAUAAGCAUGUAGAAAGCUUGUUCAUUCCAUGUUUGGACGAGGGUUCAAUUCCCUCCGGCUCCACC
rnacentral:tmRNA from 1 species